CCUACGGGAGGCAGCAGUCGGGAAUAUUGCGCAAUGGAGGAAACUCUGACGCAGUGACGCCGCGUGCAGGAAGAAGGUUUUCGGAUUGUAAACUUCUUUUCUCAGGGACGAAGCAAGUGACGGUACCUGAGGAAUAAGCCACGGCUAACUACGUGCCAGCAGCCGCGGUAAUACGUAGGUGGCAAGCGUUAUCCGGAUUUACUGGGUGUAAAGGGCGUGUAGGCGGGACUGCAAGUCAGAUGUGAAAACCAUGGGCUCAACCUAUGGCCUGCAUUUGAAACUGUAGUUCUUGAGUACUGGAGAGGCAGACGGAAUUCCUAGUGUAGCGGUGAAAUGCGUAGAUAUUAGGAGGAACACCAGUGGCGAAGGCGGUCUGCUGGACAGCAACUGACGCUGAGGCGCGAAAGCGUGGGGAGCAAACAGGAUUAGAUACCCGGGUAGUC
rnacentral:rRNA from 1 species